rnacentral:tRNA from 1 species
GCCACUGUGGCUUAGCCGGGUUAUAGCGCCUCCUUGGUAAGGAGGAUGUCGUGGGUUCAAAUCCCACCAGUGGCU